rnacentral:misc_RNA from 1 species
AUGAGACAGGAGUCUUCAGAACCUACAAAAGAGGAAAGAGGAAUGGGUGUUAGGAGGGUCAAAUAAACAGAUAACGUCUUAUUUACAGAAUCAAAAGAUUAAGUGAGGCAAACCACACUAUGCAAUAUCAAGUAGUAUUAUGCCAAGAGUUGUCUACGAAAUUCUUUUUUUUUGUUUUUUUUUGGUAUUGUAUUAGAUCAUAAGUGUAUAGCUUUUAUCUAGAGGAAGAUAUUUCCCUAAAAACAUUUUUUAGUGGUUGGGGCAAGCGGAAAAAUUGUUCAAAAAACAUUUUGUAGGUCAAAGAGGAAACUAAUUCUAAAGUUUGGACAAGAGAGGAAUUGGGAGAAAAGAACAACAAUAGAGUUGGUUGGGGGGGGCAGAGGUGUGGGGGUUGGGGGUGGUGGUGGUGUUGAGGAAGAAGGGAAAAGGAAGGAAUCAUCUCCUCUUCAUAUGAUGUGAAAUUCAUUAAACUUAGAUAUGGUGGGCAGUGAACAUUACCAUGCAACAGGAGAGAUUGAAAAUUUGUCCUGCACUUUUUACCCUCAUUAUUUUGGUUCAAUCAAAAUUUAUUAUCGUG